rnacentral:rRNA from 1 species
AGGAUGAACGCUAGCUACAGGCUUAACACAUGCAAGUCGAGGGGUAGCAGGGUAGCAAUACCGCUGACGACCGGACGCACGGGUGAGUAACACGUAUCCAACCUUCCCAUAACUCUGGGAUAGCCUUUCGAAAGAAAGAUUAAUACCGGAUGGUACUUUUCAAGGCAUCUUGAGAAAGUUAAAGAUUUAUUGGUUAUGGAUGGGGAUGCGUUCCAUUAGAUAGUUGGUGAGGUAACGGCUCACCAAGUCUUCGAUGGAUAGGGGUUCUGAGAGGAAGGUCCCCCACAUUGGUACUGAGACACGGACCAAACUCCUACGGGAGGCAGCAGUGAGGAAUAUUGGUCAAUGGGCGAGAGCCUGAACCAGCCAAGUAGCGUGAAGGAUGAAGGUCCUAUGGAUUGUAAACUUCUUUUAUAGUAGAAUAAAGUGAUCCACGUGUGGAUUUUUGUAUGUAUACUAUGAAUAAGGAUCGGCUAACUCCGUG